rnacentral:tRNA from 1 species
GCCCCUGUAGCUCAAAUGCCAGAGCACCGCCCUGCUAAGGCGGGUGUGCAGGUUCAAGUCCUGCCGGGGGCA